GACAGAGGUGCCAAGCGUUAGGCGGAAUCACUGGGCUUAAAGCGUGUGUAGGCGGACUUGUAAGUACCUUGUGAAAUCCCACGGCUCAAGCGUGGAACUGCUUGGUAUACUGCUUGUCUUGAGCCACUUAGGGGCUACCGGAACAAAUGGUGGAGCGGUGAAAUGCGUAGAUAUCAUUUGGAACGCCAAUGGUGAAAACAGGUAGCUGGGAGUGUGCUGACGCUGAGACACGAAAGCCAGGGGAGCGAACGGG
rnacentral:rRNA from 1 species